AUACGAAGGGGGCUAGCGUUGUUCGGAAUUACUGGGCGUAAAGCGUGCGCAGGCGGCUCAUCAAGUCAGAGGUGAAAGCCCAGGGCUCAACCCUGGAAUUGCCUUUGAAACUGGUGGGCUUGAGUGCGGGAGAGGUGAGUGGAAUUCCCAGUGUAGAGGUGAAAUUCGUAGAUAUUGGGAAGAACACCGGUGGCGAAGGCGGCUACCUGGACCGAUACUGACGCUGAGACGCGAAAGCGUGGGGAGC
rnacentral:rRNA from 1 species